rnacentral:misc_RNA from 1 species
UGUGUGUGGGCAGGAUGCAU